rnacentral:rRNA from 1 species
UACGAAGGGGGCUAGCGUUGCUCGGAAUUACUGGGCGUAAGGGGCGCGUAGGCGGACAGUUUAGUCAGAGGUGAAAGCCCAGGGCUCAACCUUGGAAUUGCCUUUGAUACUGGCUGUCUUGAGUUCGGGAGAGGUGAGUGGAAUGCCGAGUGUAGAGGUGAAAUUCGUAGAUAUUCGGCGGAACACCAGUGGCGAAGGCGACUCACUGGCCCGAUACUGACGCUGAGGCGCGAAAGCGUGGGGAGCAAACAGG